rnacentral:rRNA from 1 species
GUCCACGCUGUAAACGAUGGAUGCUAGGUGUUGGGGUAUUGACCCUCCAGUGCCGCAGUUAACGCAUUAAGCAUCCGCCUGGGGAGUACGGCCGCAAGGCUAAACUCAAAGGAAUUGACUGGGGCCCGCACAAGCGGUGGAGCAUGUGGUUUAAUUCGACGCAACGCGAAGAACCUUACCUGGGUUAAAUCCGCCGGAAUUCCGCAGAGAUGUGGAAGUGCCCUUCGGGGAACCGGUGAGAAGGUGCUGCAUGGCUGUCGU